GUGGGUAUGGCUUAGUGGUAGAGUGCAUGUUAGCAUGCGUGAGGUCCUGGGUUCAAUCCCCAGUACCUCCA
rfam:Camelus ferus unplaced genomic scaffold scaffold1340, whole genome shotgun sequence.